rnacentral:rRNA from 1 species
UACGUAGGGGGCUAGCGUUAUCCGGAAUUACUGGGCGUAAAGGGUGCGUAGGUGGUUUCUUAAGUCAGAGGUGAAAGCCUUCGGCUUAACCGGAGUAGUGCAUUGGAAACUGGGAGACUUGAGUGCAGAAGAGGAGAGUGGAACUCCAUGUGUAGCGGUGAAAUGCGUAGAUAUAUGGAAGAACACCAGUGGCGAAAGCGGCUCUCUGGUCUGUAACUGACGCUGAGGUUCGAAAGCGUGGGUAGCAAACAGG